rnacentral:rRNA from 1 species
UUGAUGUUCUAACGUGGACCCGUGAUCCGGGUUGCGGACAGUGUCUGGUGGGUAGUUUGACUGGGGCGGUCUCCUCCUAAAGAGUAACGGAGGAGCACGAAGGUUGGCUAAUCCUGGUCGGACAUCAGGAGGUUAGUGCAAUGGCAUAAGCCAGCUUGACUGCGAGCGUGACGGCGCGAGCAGGUGCGAAAGCAGGUCAUAGUGAUCCGGUGGUUCUGAAUGGAAGGGCCAUCGCUCAACGGAUAAAAGGUACUCCGGGGAUAACAGGCUGAUACCGCCCAAGAGUUCAUAUCGACGGCGGUGUUUGGCACCUCGAUGUCGGCUCAUCACAUCCUGGGGCUGAAGUAGGUCCCAAGGGUAUGGCUGUUCGCCAUUUAAAGUGGUACGCGAGCUGGGUUUAGAACGUCGUGAGACAGUUCGGUCCCUAUCUGCCGUGGGCGCUGGAGAACUGAGGGGGGCUGCUCCUAGUACGAGAGGACCGGAGUGGACGCAUCACUGGUGUUCGGGUUGUCAUGCCAAUGGCACUGCCCGGUAGCUAAAUGCGGAAGAGAUAAGUGCUGAAAGCAUCUAAGCACGAAACUUGCCCCGAGAUGAGUUCUCCCUGAGACUUAGAGUCUCCUGAAGGAACGUUGAAGACGACGACGUUGAUAGGCCGGGUGUGUAAGCGCAGCGAUGCGUUGAGCUAACCGGUACUAAUGAACCGUGAGGCUUAACCUUA